rnacentral:tmRNA from 2 species
GGGGGCGACAUGGCUUCGACGUGGGUAGCGAAACCUUAAGUGCAUGCCGAGCACAGUACAGCUCGUAAAACCUACUGAAAAAAAGUAUUCGCAAAUGACGAAAACUACUCAAUGGCUUUAGCUGCCUAAAAACAGCUACCAUUCCUUUGACUGUGUGUGCUUAUGCGCGCAGAGUUCUUGAAGCUCUUCGGAGUCGAGGGGACGCUCAGAGGUCAUAUUACAUAAGAUCGUGCUGACGCUAGUCCGGAGCUGAUGCCCUAAAACUUACGGAAUCGCUGACAGUUUUCUUGGCCUGACGGGUAGCUGGCGGUUAAAUCAAAAGUUCAGGAUAAGCAUGUAGAUCUUGUGGCGGAGUACUUGCGGACGCGGGUUCAAUCCCCGCCGCCUCCACCA